UACGAAGGGGGCUAGCGUUGUUCGGAAUUACUGGGCGUAAAGCGCGCGCAGGCGGCCUUUCAAGUCGGUGGUGAAAUCCCAGAGCUCAACUCUGGAAUUGCCAUCGAAACUGUAAGGCUUGGGUACGGGAGAGGUGAGUGGAAUUCCGAGUGUAGAGGUGAAAUUCGUAGAUAUUCGGAAGAACACCAGUGGCGAAGGCGGCUCACUGGCCCGUUACCGACGCUCAGGCGCGACAGCGUGGGGAGCAAAC
rnacentral:rRNA from 1 species